AGGUGCGAUCAUAACAGCGUUAAUGCACUGGAUCCCAUAGAAACUUCGAUGUUAAGCGCGCUUGGCCUAGAGUAGUACUAGGAUGGGUGACCUCUUGGCAAGUCCUAGUGUUGUACCCU
rfam:Picea glauca, whole genome shotgun sequence.